CUACGGGUUGCAGCAGUGGGGAAUAUUGCACAAUGGGCGCAAGCCUGAUGCAGCCAUGCCGCGUGUAUGAAGAAGGCCUUCGGGUUGUAAAGUACUUUCAGCGGGGAGGAAGGGAGUAAAGUUAAUACCUUUGCUCAUUGACGUUACCCGCAGAAGAAGCACCGGCUAACUCCGUGCCAGCAGCCGCGGUAAUACGGAGGGUGCAAGCGUUAAUUGGAAUUACUGGGCGUAAAGCGCACGCAGGCGGUUUGUUAAGUCAGAUGUGAAAUCCCCGGGCUCAACCUGGGAACUGCAUCUGAUACUGGCAAGCGUGAGUCUCGUAGAGGGGGGUAGAAUUCCAGGUGUAGCGGUGAAAUGCGUAGAGAUCUGGAGGAAUACCGGUGGCGAAGGCGGCCCCUUGGACGAAGACUGACGCUCAGGUGCGAAAGCGUGGGGAGCAAACAGGAUUAGAUACCCGCGUAGUC
rnacentral:rRNA from 1 species